rnacentral:rRNA from 1 species
CGGACGGGUGAGUAAUGCUUGGGAAUCUGGCUUAUGGAGGGGGAUAACUACGGGAAACUGUAGCUAAUACCGCGUAAUAUCUUCGGAUUAAAGGGUGGGACUUUCGGGCCACCUGCCAUAAGAUGAGCCCAAGUGGGAUUAGGUAGUUGGUGGGGUAAAGGCCUACCAAGCCGACGAUCUCUAGCUGGUCUGAGAGGAUGACCAGCCACACUGGAACUGAGACACGGUCCAGACUCCUACGGGAGGCAGCAGUGGGGAAUAUUGCACAAUGGGGGGGACCCUGAUGCAGCCAUGCCGCGUGAAUGAAGAAGGCCUUCGGGUUGUAAAGUUCUUUCGGUGAUGAGGAAGGUGUUUGUUUUAAUAGAACAAGCAAUUGACGUUAGUCACAGAAGAAGCACCGGCUAACUCCGUGCCAGCAGCCGCGGUAAUACGGAGGGUGCGAGCGUUAAUCGGAAUGACUGGGCGUAAAGGGCACGCAGGCGGUGACUUAAGUGAGAUGUGAAAGCCCCGAGCUUAACUUGGGAAUUGCAUUUCAUACUGGGUCGCUAGAGUAUUUUAGGGAGGGGUAGAAUUCCACGUGUAGCGGUGAAAUGCGUAGAGAUGUGGAGGAAUACCGAAGGCGAAGGCAGCCCCUUGGGAAUAUACUGACGCUCAUGUGCGAAAGCGUGGGGAGCAAACAGGAUUAGAUACCCUGGUAGUCCACGCUGUAAACGCUGUCGAUUUGGGGAUUGGGCUUAGAGCUUGGUGCCCGUAGCUAACGUGAUAAAUCGACCGCCUGGGGAGUA